rnacentral:ncRNA from 2 species
GAAUAUCAUAAAAAGGGCGGUCGCGCGUCGAGGAUAAAACCCGGCGCGGGUCAAAAAGGAAAUCUCGGUGAAAAUCCGUCGCAACAGCCAUUACCGUAAUCGGACUCAUUUGUCCCCAAGUCGGAAUGCUUGCCGUCCUUUCGGUUACCGA